UACAGAGGUGGCAAGCGUUGUUCGGAAUUACUGGGCGUAAAGGGCCAGUAGGCGGCCAACUAAGUCCGACGUGAAAUCCCCAGGCUUAACCUGGGAACUGCGUCGGAUACUGGAUGGCUUGAAUUCGGGAGAGGGAUGCAGAAUUCCAGGUGUAGCGGUGAAAUGCGCAGAUAUCAGGAGGAACACCGGUGGCGAAGGCGGGUCUCUGGGCCGUAACUGACGCUGAGGAGCGAAAGCAUGGGGAGCGAACAGG
rnacentral:rRNA from 1 species